rnacentral:rRNA from 1 species
UACGCAGGGGGCAAGCGUUGUCCGGAAUCAUUGGGCGUAAAGCGCGUGUAGGCGGCCCGGUAAGUCCGCUGUGAAAGUCGGGGGCUCAACCCUCGAAUGCCGGUGGAUACUGUCGGGCUAGAGUGCGGGAGAGGCGAGUGGAAUUCCUGGUGUAGCGGUGAAAUGCGCAGAUAUCGGGAGGAACACCAAUGGCGAAGGCAGCUCGCUGGGACGGUACUGACGCUGAGACGGCGAAAGCGUGGGGAGCAAACAGG